rnacentral:rRNA from 1 species
AACGAACGCUGGCGGCAGGCUUAACACAUGCAAGUCGAACGGACGUAGCAAUACGUUAGUGGCAGACGGGUGAGUAACGCGUGGGAAUAUGCCCUUUAGUUCGGAACAACUCAGGGAAACUUGAGCUAAUACCGGAUAAGCCCGAGAGGGGAAAGAUUUAUCGCUAAAGGAGUAGCCCGCGUCUGAUUAGCUAGUUGGUGAGGUAAUGGCUCACCAAGGCGACGAUCAGUAGCUGGUCUGAGAGGAUGAUCAGCCACACUGGGACUGAGACACGGCCCAGACUCCUACGGGAGGCAGCAGUGGGGAAUAUUGGACAAUGGGGGCAACCCUGAUCCAGCCAUGCCGCGUGAGUGAUGAAGGCCUUAGGGUUGUAAAACUCUUUUGUCCGGGAAGAUAAUGACUGUACCGGAAGAAUAAAGCCCGGCUAACUACGUGCCAGCAGCCGCGGUAAGAGUACUCUAU